rnacentral:rRNA from 1 species
GGCUUCCUACGGGGGGCAGCAGUGGGGAAUAUUGCACAAUGGGCGCAAGCCUGAUGCAGCCAUGCCGCGUGUGUGAAGAAGGCCUUCGGGUUGUAAAGCACUUUCAGUCAGGAGGAAAGGUUAGUAGUUAAUACCUGCUAGCUGUGACGUUACUGACAGAAGAAGCACCGGCUAACUCCGUGCCAGCAGCCGCGGUAAUACGGAGGGUGCAAGCGUUAAUCGGAAUUACUGGGCGUAAAGCGAGCGUAGGCGGCUUGAUAAGUUGGAUGUGAAAAACCGGGGCUCAACCUCGGCUGUGCAUUCAAAACUGUUAGGCUAGAGUCUUGUAGAGGGGGGUAGAAUUUCAGGUGUAGCGGUGAAAUGCGUAGAGAUCUGAAGGAAUACCAGUGGCGAAGGCGGCCCCCUGGACAAAGACUGACGCUGAGGUUCGAAAGCGUGGGUAGCGAACAGGAUUAGAUACCCUGGUAGUCCACGCCGUAAACGAUGUCUACUUGCUGUCUGUGUUCUUGUAACGUGGGUAGCGCAGCUAACGCGAUAAGUAGACCGCCUGGGGAGUACGGCCGCAAGGUUAAAACUCAAAUGAAUUGACGGGGGCCCGCACAAGCGGUGGAGCAUGUGGUUUAAUUCGAUGCAACGCGAUGAACCUUACCAUCCUUGACAUCCAGAGAAUUUACUAGAGAUAGUUUAGUGCCUUCGGGAACUUUGAGACAGGUGCUGCAUGGCUGUCGUCAGCUCGUGUUGUGAAAUGUUGGGUUAAGUCCCGCAACGAGCGCAACCCUUAUCCUUAGUUGCCAUCAUUAAGUUGGGGACUCUAGGGAGACUGCCGGUGAUAAACCGGAGGAAGGUGGGGACGACGUCAAGUCAUCAUGGCCCUUACGGGAUGGGCUACACACGUGCUACAAUGGUAAGUACAGAGGGCAGCUAACUUGCGAGAGUCCGCGAAUCCCUUAAAGCUUAUCGUAGUCCGGAUUGGAGUCUGCAACUCGACUCCAUGAAGUCGG